CUUCCCGUCGCCCAACACGCACAGGCUCGAUUUCCCUUUCGAGCAAGCUGAGAUCGUAAACGUGAAACAGCGGCGCACCAAGCUUGCGGGAAAUUCGUGGCAACAGCCAUCUUUCUCCACCCCGAACAAACGUGGUGUGCGGCCGACAGCUACAAUCUGGAGCUCCCCCAAAGUCCACAGUCUUCAAAAGUUAUCUUCAAAUGCUCCUGAAGGCCGAAAGUGAUGAUAUUCCAGAUGUCCCAGGAGGGCUUUGGCAUAAGGUUGCAUUCUGCAAACAAUCUUAGACAGCAGCUAAAAAGAAGCUGCUCCAAAAUCUGGAGAUGGAAAACAUGGCAAUGCCUCCUCCCACAAAUACAAGAUAAAAGCUGGAGGAAAGAAUCUUCACAAAGCCAUCAUGUAGUGAAGAAACGGAUUAUCACAAGUCUAUCUUUGGCAGACCAGAUGCUCUUUCCAUUGUAGUACUUGUCUGUGAAGCAGAUACUUGGGUCAGCAGCUUUGGGCCAAGGAAACAAAAGGGCAUUUGUUGUCUUUUUGGCAACAUUUACAAUCUUUACUUUGAGGUAUUGUAGGCUGUGUAGCAGAUAGUCUGGUCAGCAACUUUGAGCCAAAGAAACAAAAGAGUGUUUGUUGUUCAACUAAAGUAAUGCUCCGUCUCCUAGUUAAAGAAUUACUGGACUUUACCUGCUCUUAUCCUUUUGCAGUGCAAAAGGCAAAGGGCUUAAUAAGUUACCUGCUGGAUCUGAUUACAAUUAAAGAGGCACAGUGAAGAAACAGGAAUGCCCUCCCUUUUCUUUUAGAUCUCCCAUCCAGAGUCUCGUAACAGUGAAAGAAUUCUUUGGUGCUCUUUUAAUUAAAGUAGAAAACAGCCCAUAAAUCCUUCACCAACUACUUUUAUCAAAUGUAUUGAAUUAGCACCACACAUGUAAAUUAUUCUGAAAUAAAUAAUAGCUGGUAUGUCACUCCUAGGCUGCUCUGGUUGUAAAAAGCCAUUUACAGCAGGCCCACAAAGAUUACUGCUGAGAUAGAGUGAAGUUAUCAGGCAAAACAUGAUCAAAAACAUGAGGGGGAGGGGAGGACAAGGAGGAGGAAAUUUAGCCAGGUUUCAUGGUUUAAAACUCUUUUUGUAAGAUAAAUCAUGAUGACAAAAUAUAAGGCAUUUAAACAAAAGGUCCACAUGAAUGUCUGUGUGUGUGUGUGAGAGAGAGAUUGGGGGGGUGAGAGUGUAAUUUUUCACAUACUAUCCACUGAAAAUGCAGUUUUUUAAUUUGAAAGAAUUCCAAAGGAUCCUCAAGUCAAAUAGAUCUUCCCCUCUGGGCUAAGCUGAGCAGCCUGUUGGUUUCCCUAAUGUAGCGUCCUGUAAUGAAAGGAUCAGUCUGCUUUGGGAGGCCUUAAGGGGCACCGUCUUUAUUUCCAAGAAUACUGCUGGGCCCUCUACAGCCUCUGAGACAUUCCUUGGCAGUAGAAGGGAGAUCCAGGCUGGCUAAAGGUAGUGCAUAAUUCUGACGGGGGCUAAACCAUCCAGGUAAGCUGGGGGAUAAUAGGGAGGGGAUAAAGGGGGCCAUAGGGAGUCUUUGGAGGGCAGCUAGAGGGGAUCAUAGGGAGUGAGCUGUGUGGUGUGUGUUGCUUUAAGGGAAGUGUGGUAGUUUUUCAAAAAAUGUGUUCCUUUUGCCCAGCAUGUAUGUUUUCCAUUGAGGUUUUUUCUUUUCUAAAUUGGUAGGGGUGUCUGUGUGUGUGUAUACGCUGAACUUUAUAAAUUUUCCUGCUGUGAAACAGCUCUUAUGAUGUGCUUUAUAAGGGCAAAUAGAUAAUUUUGGUUUUGGUGCUUAGUUACUCUCCUGCCAUCUUCCCACCACCCCACUGUUGCAUUUGGUUUCUCAACCAAAUUCCUUUCCUUUUAGUCUCAUCACUUUGCAAAACAGAAAACAAAAACAAACUAAGAUCAAACAUACUUGAUUCAAGUAUGGUUUGGAGCCCAGACGUCACAUCUGCCUUGUAUUCCAUUUCUUAGACAAAGUUCCUUUCCUUUAGCCUCAUCACUCUGCCUUCUAGGGAAUACAGUAGCUAUUUUAUGGUUGGCUGCACAAAAUGGACCGCUGUUUUGGAAAGGCCUUGGCCAUCAUGGCCACCAUUUAAUGGAGGUGCUAACAGUGGUUACUAAAUUCUGAAUGUUGUACCUGACCAGUUUAUUUCAAAUUUUAAAUUAAAAAGCUCAUAUUGAGGAAGCCAGAGUAACAAAAGAGGUUGUGUUUCCCACAUUCUGUUCAAGACUGGGAUAGAUUACUUGGCUAUUUCUGGAUCUGGAGCUUAAAGUAGAUCCUAAAUUUAUUCUUUCAAUGGUAGGAACUUAGGUUGAGUCUUUGUGAAUCCUUACAUCCCACAUAAGAAGAUUUUGUUUUUCCUUUCUUAGUAACCAUCUAUCUGCCUUGAAUGGUUAUUACUUUUCCUUUAGGAUGUCAAAUAGGCAGCCUCAUGCUAUCAUCUGCAUGGAAAAUAUUUUACAAUUGCUGGUAAACAUUUUUAAUCCUGAACCCAAGCUCCUCUUCUGAAUGUAAGAUUUAUUUCACUAGCAGUUUAGAUAAACCAUCUCAGGGGAGUAGGACAUAGCUUAAGUUUUAUACUCAAGUGCCAUGCUCACUGUUGUCAGCAUAUAAGUAAUACAGUAAAUAAGUUAACUUUAUUCCUGGCUGAACUAACUGCCAGCAGCUGCUCCUGGCUUUGAAACUUGGGCCUAAUGGAUUUUAUUGAGUGUAAAGUAGAAAUUAAAUCAUAGGACCACAAUCCAAGUGAUCUAGCCAUCCUGUUUCGUGAUUCUUGUGUAAAAAUAAAGGAGGAUAUAAAUAUUUUAGAUAAAUAAAUAUUGACCCUGAGGACAUUUCCAACUGCAGUUUUUGAAAGAUUUCUCUGAAAGCAAUAUAGCAUUAUUACUGCAGACAGAAAUAUUUACCAUUUUGAUCUGUAUUUAAUAGUUCUUCCCUAAUGUUCUAUUCCUAACAAUUUCUUUAAAAGCUCUCUUUUCUUUUUCUUUUCUUUUCUUCUUUUUCUUUCUUUUCUUUUCCAUAUUCUCCAAUUUACCAUUGGAAGAGGUUUUUCCAGUCAGGGGUAGAAGAUAGCAAGUGUGGCUUUAACGAGGGGAGAGAGAAAGAGUUCAAAAUUAUGCCACAGAAAUGACAGAGAUGCACGCUAAUUGCUAUUUCCCCCCUUUUGUUUCCUACCCAUAUCUAUCUUUCAAAUUCUGUCUUCCAAAUCUCAUGUUGGGAUGAGUGACUUUCCUAAAAUCAUCAGUGAUUUUUAUGUUUGAGCAAAGUACUGAUCUUCGGUCGCUGAGUUCAGUGCUAAAUAUUUUAGCUGCUAAUCCAGACUGGUGAAAAGUUGUCUUGCUUUUCUCAUGCAUUUCACUCUACUCAUGGAGAUCUUACUGGCUACACUUCUGGGAUCUGCUGGUUCAGCUCUUCCAACACGUCAUUCUGUCAGGACACGCAGUGACCUGGUUAAUCUCUCGCUCUUCACUUUUGACUUAUGCUUGUAAAUGAUUUAUCAAUUGGCGUGGAUCCCUGUUUGCUUAAGGAGGCGUGUAAUGACCUCAGGCAUGCACUGUAUACUGAAAUCCAAACUACAUCUUCGAUAAUGACAACCAGCAAGAGGCCAUCCCAUGGUAAAGGCUAGAAGUGAAAGCAGAAAAAUAUCUAGGGGCAUAAACUUGAGGAAACCACUAGUGGCCAUACUAUAAACAGGUUACAGUCCUGUUGCAUGAUAAACAGGUUGCAAGCACAGAUUUUUUUUUGGCAGAAUUAAUCUUAAAUUCAUUGUUCAUGACUGCAGUUUUUGAGCUGUUUUGGACUCCUCUCUAUUAUCUUUUUUUUUUUUUUUGUAAUAAAUUGCCUGAUUAAAAGUUCUGAAGAAUUCCAAUG